rnacentral:rRNA from 1 species
GUGAGGAAUUUUGCGCAAUGGGGGAAACCCUGACGCAGCGACGCCGCGUGGAGGAUGAAGGCCUUCGGGUUGUAAACUCCUGUCAGAGGAGAAGAAUCCCCGCAAGGGGUUGACGGUAUCCUCAGAGGAAGCCCCGGCUAACUACGUGCCAGCAGCCGCGGUAAUACGUAGGGGGCAAACGUUGCUCGGAAUUACUGGGCGUAAAGGGUGUGUAGGUGGCUGAGCAAGUCAAAGAUGAAAUCCCGAGGCUCAACUUCGGAACUGUCUUUGAAACUGCUCAGCUUGAGGAUGGUUGAGGAGAGCGGAAUUCCCGGUGGAGCGGUGAAAUGCGUAGAUAUCGGGAGGAACACCGGAGGCGUAGGCGGUUCUCUAAGCUAUUCCUGACACUGAGACACGAAAGCUAGGGGAGCGAACGGGAUUAGAAACCCGAGUAGUCC